rnacentral:lncRNA from 1 species
AUGGCAUAAAAAUUAAGGCAUGACCAUAUCCCAAUCAAAAGAAAUAAUAGCAUGAAGUUGCGACUCCUUAUGCUUCUUCCUUUCGUGCAUGUAGAGAAAUUAGGGGCAUCUCACACCCCAUUUGGCCAUGGCAUACUUUAAAAUUUGUGCCACCUAGAUAUAGGGCUGAGAGUCUCCACAUGGGUCUUAAUCUCAGAUUAAAAGGAUUUCUCAAGACCCCUUAAUCGAACCAAAAAAUUCAACAUUAUCCUUUUGUGGCGCAUGCAUGAUAGAGUCCUAAUCAAUUUGGACUCUAUAUAUGGCACCCUAAUUGCUGAAAAAAGUCCAAUAAAAAUCUAGAUAAAUUUGGUCCAAGUC